rnacentral:lncRNA from 1 species
CCUCAGGUAGCUCUUUCUCCUCUAAAGGAGCUUGAGGUUAUGCACAACCCCUGCUUCAGAUCCCGGUUUUUAUAAUAUAUUUUGCCACCCUGUGAGCUGAGGAAGGAUUGAUCAAAUUUAUAGUGUUACUCUUCUGCUUAGCCAGAGCAGAUGAUCCUCCAAGCAAAAUAAUCUGCAGCCUGGAGGGACAGGAAAGAUUGAUCAAAUUUGUAGUGUUUUUACUCUUCUGUUUAGCCAGAGCAGAUGAGCCUCCAAGCAAAAUAAUCUGCAGCCUGGAGGGACCACUGGACUUGGCACUUGAGCUUCACUUCAUAAGCGUCUCUUUUGCCAGCACCUCUGAGCUAGAAAGAACAAACCUGGAGAUGACAGCUGAGGAGAAUGAGAGCAGCCACGAGUCCUCUCAGGCCUGACCCCAUGCCAGUCCUUUUAGCAUUCUGGAUGGGUAUUCCUUGUGUGAGCACAUAAAUUUCAGCCUUGGAUGAACACUGAAUAUGCUUUGCUUAACAAACAAAAGGAAAAAAAAAUGAAACAUGGAGGAAAAACUAGGGAAGAUAGAAGAUUGCUUCUGGAAAAUGAGAAGAAGUCAGGGUGAAAAAGAAAACAAAAGAGUAAGCACCACUGUGCUGAGGAAAGGUGGGAAGCAGAGGAAUGUAGAAGAUUCAUCCUGCCAUCAAACAGUUCCAGCCCCAAUGUGAAACCCUGUUCCACAAACACAUUACUCUGUUAAAAAAAGAUUUUUCUUCUCUGCUUGAGAUUCAGAGUAAGAUAAAUUUGAAAAG